UACGUAGGGGGGCAACGUUGUCCGGAAUCAUUGGGCGUAAAGAGCGCGUAGGCGGCCCUGUAAGUCCGCUGUGAAAAGUCAAGGGCUCAACCCUUGGAUGCCGGUGGAUACUGCAGGGCUAGAGUCCGGAAGAGGCGAGUGGAAUUCCUGGUGUAGCGGGUGAAAUGCGCAGAUAUCAGGAGGAACACCGAUGGCGAAGGCAGCUCGCUGGGACGGUACUGACGCUGAGGCGCGAAAGCGUGGGAGCAACAGG
rnacentral:rRNA from 1 species